UACAGAGGUCUCAAGCGUUGUUCGGAUUCAUUGGGCGUAAAGAGCGUGUAGGCGGCCAAACAGGUCCGUUGUGAAAACUGGAGGCUCAACUUCCAGACGUCGACGGAAACCGUAUGGCUAGAGUCCGGAAGAGGAGAGUGGAAUUCCUGGUGUAGCGGUGAAAUGCGCAGAUAUCAGGAAGAACACCAAUGGCGAAGGCAGCUCUCUGGGACGGUACUGACGCUGAGACGCGAAAGCGUGGGGAGCGAACAGG
rnacentral:rRNA from 1 species